GAACCAAAUGCAAUUCCCUGGCCACCCUGAGGGAGUUAGAGUCGACUAGUUCUUCACCCCUUCCAGAGGCGUGUCUGCUCAAUCAAGUCAAAUACUGAACAACUUCCUGGCGGAGAGGCUGAGAAUUUUAUACUUGCUUGCUCGAAAGCACCCCAAAUAAGAUGAUCCACGCCAACACCUCCCCUUUACAGCAAAAGGCUGAAGCUCAAAUACAUUAACUACCCUUCCCAAGGUCAGAUAGCCAGCCAGUAAUGGGGCCCAUGAGGAACUGAAUUCUACAUCUAACUGAUUGAAAAGCUAUGUUCUUUGGCAUUUGAUUAAACUACUUUAAUCAU
rnacentral:lncRNA from 10 species